rnacentral:rRNA from 1 species
ACGAACGCUGGCGGCGUGCCUAAUACAUGCAAGUCGAGCGAACAGAUAAGGAGCUUGCUCCUUUGACGUUAGCGGCGGACGGGUGAGUAACACGUGGGUAACCUACCUAUAAGACUGGGACAACUUCGGGAAACCGGAGCUAAUACCGGAUAAUAUGUUGAACCGCAUGGUUCAAUAGUGAAAGAUGGUUUUGCUAUCACUUAUAGAUGGACCCGCGCCGUAUUAGCUAGUUGGUGAGGUAACGGCUUACCAAGGCAACGAUACGUAGCCG